UGAGGAAUAUUGGGCAAUGCCCGCAAGGGUGACCCAGCAACGCCGCGUGGAGGAUGAAUGUCGUAAGAUUGUAAACUCCUGUUAGAGGGGAAGAAUAGUACCGGUUGGACCGGUAUAUGACUGUACCCUCAGAGAAAGCCCCGGCUAACUACGUGCCAGCAGCCGCGGUAAUACGUAGGGGGCAAGCGUUGUCCGGAUUUACUGGGUGUAAAGGGCGCGCAGGCGGGAUAAAAAGUCAGUGGUGAAAUCCUACAGCUUAACUGUAGAACUGCCUUUGAUACUUUUAUUCUUGAGUUCGGGAGAGAGAGACGGAAUUCCAGGUGUAGUGGUGAAAUACGUAGAUAUCUGGAAGAACACCUGUUGCGAAGGCGGUCUCUUGGUCCGACACUGACGCUGAGGCGCGAAAGCGUGGGGAGCAAACA
rnacentral:rRNA from 1 species